GACGUUGAUAGGCCGGGUGUGUAAGCGCAGCGAUGCGUUGAGCUAACCGGUACUAAUGAACCGUGAGGCUUAACCUUAC
rnacentral:rRNA from 2 species